rnacentral:tRNA from 1 species
UCCAUUAUAGUCUAGUUGGUUAGGAUACUCGACUCUUACCCGAGAGACCUGGGUUCAUGUCCCGGCAAUGGAA